CCUACGGGAGGCUGCAGUGAGGAAUAUUGGUCAAUGGCCGCAGGGCUGAACCAGCCAAGUCGCGUGAGGGAUGACGGUCCUAUGGAUUGUAAACCUCUUUUGUCAGGGAGCAAAGGGCGCCACGUGUGGCGCUUUGCGAGUACCUGAAGAAAAAGCAUCGGCUAACUCCGUGCCAGCAGCCGCGGUAAUACGGAGGAUGCGAGCGUUAUCCGGAUUUAUUGGGGUUAAGGGGUGCGCAGGCGGAAUGUCAAGUCAGCGGUAAAAUUUCGGGGCUCAACCCCGUCGUGCCGUUGAAACUGGCGUUCUUGAGUGAGCGAGAAGUAUGCGGAAUGCGUGGUGUAGCGGUGAAAUGCAUAGAUAUCACGCAGAACUCCGAUUGCGAAGGCAGCAUACCGGCGCUCAACUGACGCUCAUGCACGAAAGCGUGGGUAUCGAACAGGAUUAGAUACCCGAGUAGUC
rnacentral:rRNA from 1 species